rnacentral:sRNA from 1 species
AUAUAUAUGAAUUUAAUAACCCCAAAUUUAAGAAGAUUUUAGAUUACUUUUUACAAAUCUUAAAUGAAUAACACAAAACAUUAACAUAUUUUUAAAAAAUCUUGAUUAAAUAACAACAGAUUCUGCAUGGCACUUUGAGACACUAAAACUCUUUUGAAAUCAUAAACCAAUAACAUAUAGAUUUUGAAGUUGCUUUUAAAUUUUUAUGUUUUAUUGGUUUUUCACUUUUUAACGAUGAAAAUUCCAUAAAAAUUCUCAUAUUCUUAACGCUCUAAGUAAAUCCGUCAUUCUAAUAGACAACCAUUUAGUUUGAAAGUUAAGAA